UGUUUAGCAAUUUAUAUACAAUAGUUUGGCUUUCUGUGAUAUCUUGCCAUUUGCUCAUGGGCAAAAACACAUUUAGGAUUUAUAAGCAGUAAAGCCCCCCCCACUAGAUCUCUGAGUGUCCCUAAAAAUGUCCCUGAAGUUUAAUAGGCCAUUUAUGUCUAAUUUUAAUUUUAAAGGCUUAUCAAAGCAUUUCUGUAGUAAUUAUUGUUUUUAUUACACAUGUUAAGGCCAUUUGAGACUCUGCAAUUAAAUGUUGCCCUCUUUAGACUAAAGUGAGUUCAUUUUGUCUGAGGUACAGUGCUGGGAAAAGUCUUUUUUUCCUUGCAGAUUUAUUUUGUUCAUGCUUUUUUGUCACAUGUUUCAAAUCAUCUAACAGGGAUGAUAUGAAUAAAUACAAAAAAGCAUUUUAAAGUGAUGAUUUCACGUAUGAAGCAGAGAAAACCAAACCAGAGCUAUCUGUUCUAAUGUGAGAACAUGCUGGUCUCUAAUACCCAGCUGUGGAAGCCCUGAUACGAAGAACUACCAUCAAGCAUUUAUAGUAUCAAGUAUUAUUUGUGAUUGUUGCAUGCUUUGAAACUGUGAUGUUAUCAUUUGAUCAAGUGUGCAGUGCGAGCAAAUCAUUGCUUGUGGUAUCUGCUGUGUUAUGUAAUAGCACCAAAGUAUUAGAGCUUUACGUUGAUGAGGAAUUUCUGUGGCUUAUUGCAGAUUGAUAAAACGACACAUCACCUUAAUAAAGACAGAAAUCUUUAAUAAGGUGCAGAAAGAGAAGAUGGGGUGUUUAUAGUAAAGCUGUUGUAAACAAAGAAUUUAACAGAUUUAUUUUUUCACUACAGAUUGUGAUGCAGUAUUGACUCUGAUGCUGAUUUCAGUUGUCUGAUUCUGUAUUUUUGUUCUUUUGUUACAGAGUGAAACAGAACUUUGGUUUUGCGUUUGCUGGAUACUGAUCUGAUCGUCGCAAGUCUGGUGACCUGCUGCAGAAGAUCCUCUCUCUCUCUAUCAUUAUAAGCAAUUCUGUCUAUCCUAUCACUCUCCCAACUCUAUCUAAUUUGAAAGCCAUUCUAUCUUGUAUCCCUCUAUCUC